UUUGGGGUUUCAGCAGGUGGCCCGGUGCUGAGACACAAGGGAGUUGUUUCUGGUCUGCAGACACUGAGGACACUUGCUAUGUGGCGUGGUGGAUGGUGGCUUCCAAUUGUGGACAAGAUAAGGACCAUUGCCCAGGCUGUCUAUGGAGCCAAAGAUAUCGAACUCUGUCCUGAGGCACAAGUCAAAAUAGAUCGUUACACUCAGCAGGGUUUUGGAAAUUUGCCCAUCUGCAUGGCAAAGACCGAUCUUUCUCUGUCUCACCAACCUGACAAAAAAGGUGUGCCAAGGGACUUCAUCUUACCUAUCAGUGAUGUCCGGGCCAGCAUAGGUGCUGGGUUCAUUUACCCUUUGGUCGGAACGAGAAUCUCCCCUCUGGCUCUAGUUGGAGAAUCCCAACCCAAGCAAGUCCAUCUUUGAACAAUAAACAUCUCCAGUACUGCUGGCUUUGGAAGACCCCAUGGUGAGAUGCUGGAGCUUUUUUCCGCUCCUGAUUUCACUUUCUAAAUAUUUACUUUUACUUUCCAUGUUCACUUGUAGGCCAGAUUUUUUUUCCUACCAUUGAAUUAUUUCAUCAUGUUCUAUUUAAUUAUUGUCUUAAUUGGCAUUGGUGACCACAAAUAAUAAUAAAUACUAUUAACUGAU
rnacentral:lncRNA from 1 species